CUGAUCAUAAAUAUAUCUCUAUGAUUGGUUAGUUUUUAAAAACGUAAUGUUUUGAAAACGCGGAAUGUUUGAAAAACAAAAACGAUUCGGUUGUUUAAGUAUCGGUACUUGUUUAAAGUAUCGUCAGUUUAUCAAAACAUUUACAAAAUAUUUUUUUUGCUUGAAUAAUGAGAGUAUAUAUAUAUAGGUUAUGUAUAUAUAAUGUGUAGAAAAUUAAAAAUUUGAAUGCUGACAGUGAAUUAGAUUUGAAUGCUGACAGGAUUGAAAAUAAACAGCUGGGAAGAUUUAUAUGAGACUCAAAUUAAUUGAAAUCCUAUAUAUAUCCUGUAAAAUAUGGUAGCUCAAGCCAAGUUUUGAAAUACGGUUCGAAAAUCGUUUUUCUGCAUCGCCCUGGUCGCCUCAUAUAGUCGUUAUACUAAUAUAGAGAAAUAUCAUCUCAGCAAUUUUAAUAGUAAAAAUUUUAAUAUUAUACUGUAAUUAGUAUUUAUUUUAACACAGAUUGCUCCAUAAAA